rnacentral:rRNA from 1 species
GACGAACGCUGGCGGCGUGCUUAACACAUGCAAGUCGAACGGAAAGGCCCUGCUUUUGUGGGGUGCUCGAGUGGCGAACGGGUGAGUAACACGUGAGUAACCUGCCCUUGACUUUGGGAUAACUUCAGGAAACUGGGGCUAAUACCGGAUAGGAGCUCCUGCUGCAUGGUGGGGGUUGGAAAGUUUCGGCGGUUUGGGAUGGACUCGCGGCUUAUCAGCUUGUUGGUGGGGUAGUGGCUUACCAAGGCUUUGACGGGUAGCCGGCCUGAGAGGGUGACCGGCCACAUUGGGACUGAGAUACGGCCCAGACUCCAACGGGAGGCAGCAGUGGGGAAUAUUGCACAAUGGGCGGAAGCCUGAUGCAGCAACGCCGCGUGCGGGAUGACGGCCUUCGGGUUGUAAACCGAUUUCGCCUGUGACGAAGCGUGAGUGACGGUAAUGGGUAAAGAAGCACCGGCUAACUACGUG